GCUGACUUUGAAUCGAGUACUAUUUCUAUUUUUGGUUUCUACUUCUAGUUUUGCCACUGGCCACCCACAAGAUCCCCUCUUCCUCAGGAAAAAUGAAUUGGAUGAGUGGCCUCCCCUACAGCUGAGAAUCAACUAGUGUAUAUCCUACUCACCCUGAGAUUAGUAGGCAAAACAUCCU